rnacentral:lncRNA from 1 species
CUUUUAAUGAGUUUAGAUUUUUAAAGCAUUUUGUUUGUGUCAUGAGUUCAUUUCUGUAGCGGUUUUUAGACUGGUGGACAGCGAAAACAGAGUCGAUAAUUGAAUCAGAGAAAUUUCUCCCCGAGCAUCGCGGAUGGCUGGUCUGAUAAGGAGGUUCUUAGCUUGGCAGGACAGGAAGCAGCCUUUCCGCAUUCCAAGGUGGCAGAAAGUUUUCUUUUGGUCUUUGGUGCCCCUUCACAUGGUGCCAUACAGGGCAGCCUCCUGUCAGCAGACCUGCAUGAACUGUGUUGCUUUACCGAGCAGCGAUGAAGAAAGCCGUUCCUCACUACUCCAGAUGGGCAGAAAGACGAUCCACCGUGGUUUAUGCGGUUCGCUCAGCCACGAUUGGCUCCUGGAGGAUGCUCACGAUGGGGGCGGAGUACUUAGACACCUGGGCUCGGUCACCUGACAGGAGAGAACGUCCUGAGAAGCUGGUCAGAGAGGAGGAGGAGGAGGAGGAGGAGGAGGAGGAGCCGGGGCCAUCAGAUACUGGAGAGCAGGGGGAGUCCUCAUGGAUAUCCGCUGACAAGGACCCAGAACAGAAGUACGAGACUGUUCUGCACCUGGACGGGAUGAGCGGACGAAAAAUGGGAGAUGGUGUCCAGGAGGCCAUAAAGAAGCAUGACAACCUGAAGAGCACCUCCACUAAUCAGAGGUGAGACAGUUUGGGUGUGGCUGGUUGGGAAUCAUACUGUUGGUAGACUAAUCCUGUCACCAGAUCCCGUGCCUCUGGAUUUUUUCCAUUUUAAAUUUUUUUAACAGCUUUUCCAGCACAAAGUGGACAAACAUCUGCUGAUUCAAUGUUCUAACUACAGCACAAGUAUCUGUAACUCUUAUUGCAGUAAAUCAGCUAAACCACCAGAUGUCUCCUCAGUCAUAUCUAAUGAGUUUGCAUCCAUGAUCAGCAUUUCACAGCAACUACUUUAACAUGAACCGAAUACUUUAGAUACAAAAAAGGUAAGAAAAGUCUGAAGUUUUAUGGCUAAUGGUGAAAUGUUGUCUCAUGUUCAUGAAUAAACGGCACCAUGCAAUUUAUCUUCAAAAUGAAGUGUACUCAGUCUGAAAAGGCAACACCUUCCUUUAUAAAAACAGUUGCAAUAUAGUGACAAAGGUUCAAUUUAUAAAAUAAGUUUAUUUAUCCCCAAAGUUGUGAAAUUCCUGUGUUACAGAAGCUAAAACAUUAAAUAUAGUCUAUAAAACCUUAAAUAAUGUAUAAAGGUAAAAAAAGAAAUAAAGAAAUUACAUAACCAAACAAAUACUUAAAUGAAGCAAAGGUAAUACUAACAUUGGAGCUCAUUUACAUAAUAAAGAAAAACAAGAAAAAGAUGCCCAGUAAGAAAAUGAAAAUCAUGAAACCCAUUAAAAAUUUUAUUUAAAGUGUUAAAUAAUACAAGAAACUGGCUUAACAAAGCAUAAUAUAUAUAAAAAAUUAAAUAAAGCAACAUGAAAAUGAAUAAAAAAUGGCACACUAAACAAACAUGAGAUUACAUUAAAGUCAUACCAGAGUGUAAAGUGAGCAGGUCAUGUAGAUUAUGUUUGUUUGGCUAAUGUGAAUUAUGUGGACACGUCUUGUGUUCCAGCGUCUACACAAUUUUGGUCAUUUUGGUUUACACUCACUUUUUACUUUAUUAGCACCUACAAUGUCUAAUCAGCCAGUCAUGUGGCAGCAGCUCAGAAGAAAGACUUCCUGAAGUUGAAACUGAACAUCAGAAUGGGGAACAAAGGGGAUUUCAGUGACUGUGAGCGUGAUAUGGUUAUUGGUUGUUGGACUGAGUGUUUUAGAACCUGCUGAUCUGCUAGGAUUUUGCCACACAACCAUCUCUAGGGUUUACAGAGAGUGGUCUAAAAAAAGAGAAAAUUUCCAGUGAGCGAGAAUUCUCUGGGUUAAAACACAGAGCUGCUACGUUGAUGUCAGAGCAGAAUGAUCACACUGCUCCGAGAAGGUGGAAAUGCUACAACCAAUGUUUGCAGAAGAGCAUCUCCGAAUGCAUAACAUGUGAAACCCUGCAGCAGAUAGACUAAAGAAGCAGAAGACCAGACCAGGUGCUCUCCUGGCAGCUAAGAAGUGGAAACUAAGACCACAUGGGCUCACCAUGAUUGAAUGGCAGAAGAUUACAACAAUGUUGCCUGGUGUGAUGAGCUUCAAUUUGUCCUGCAAUGUUCAGAUGAUAGAACCAAAAUCUUACAUGAACAACAUAAAAGCAUCCAUCCAUCCUGCUUUGUAUCAGCAGACUGCUGGUGGUGUGAUGCUGUGAGGGAUAUUUCUUGGCACACGUUAGGGCUCAUUAGUACCAACUGAACAUCGCUUAAACACCACAUGCUACUUGAAGGACAAACACAAAGGAAACUACAGAGAAACAAGCCGUUAACAAUCAUCUGUUUGCUUUAAAAAGACACCGGUACAACAAUUCUUCUAUGAAUAUUAAUAGGAGGUGACUCACAUGAAGCUGAAGUAAUGACAUGCAGUAAAACAGGAAACUGGAUUCAGA